CCUCCAGCCAGUUACUCACGGAAGCGCCCGGACGGGUGGUGAGGGGCCCGGGCCGGAUGGCGCGGCUUAGAGCGGACGGUGUUCGUGCUGCUUUCUGUGCCGUGGUUUCUGAAAGCUUAAAUACAGACCAGAAGAGGAGUUUGGGGCUUGACAUCUGACAUCUUAACACCAGUUCCUGUUUCUUGAGGAAGGAAGAGGUAAAAUAAAUCAGCGUUUACUGUGUCCUUCUCCAUCCCCGGAAGUCCUUGUGAAGACCCUCUCAGAAUGACUAGACCUCCUGCAGAAUGACUAUAUUGUGCCUCCCUUGGGCACCCCUGUCUGCGCAGCACCCUCCACCCCCAACUGCCCAACCGCCUCUCUCCUGGCAUUCUGCUUCUAGAAGUAUGUUCUUUUGAUGCAGAGAUGCAACACACACAGAAAUCCCAGCUGGAUUACAGACUUGAACCCGAAGACCUUAUGCAGAAUGACUAUUUAUGAACCACUAAACUCAGUACUAAAGCAGCUUCAACUUGAACGUGAAUAUGAGCAACUGAUCAUCUGUUCUGCAGUCAGCCCCUGGCCUGAUUCUGACUCAUGAUAUUGACCUUCUCCAUCAUCACCUUCCACAAAUUUGAUUCCUGUCUAUUCUGCCUGGAAUGGUUCACGAGUAUAGUCACCAUUUAUGUUCCUGACGAAAGCAGGAGAAGCAUUCCUGGAGAGAGGCGGAUUCCAUGUGUGCCGGCAAAGUGUGUGCUGAGAUGAUGAGUCGCUGGAGACCAGGGUGGACUCUUCAGACCCAGGAUAGGCCUCUGGCAGCAGGAGAAGCAUUCCUGGAGAGGCGGAUUCCAUGUGUGCCGGCAAAGUGUGUGCUGAGAUGAUGAGUAGCUGGAGACCAGGGUGGACUCUUCAGACCCAGGAUAGGCCUCUGGCAGCAGGAGAAGCAUUCUUGGAGAGAGGCGGAUUCCAUGUGUGCCGGCAAAGUGUGUGCUGAGAUGAUGAGUCGCUGGAGACCAGGGUGGACUCUUCAGACCCAGGAUAGGCCUCUGGCAGCAGGAGAAGCAUUCUUGGAGAGAGGCGGAUUCCAUGUGUGCCGGCAAAGUGUGUGCUGAGAUGAUGAGUCGCUGGAGACCAGGGUGGACUCUUCAGACCCAGGAUAGGCCUCUGGCAGCAGGAGAAGCAUUCUUGGAGAGAGGCGGAUUCCAUGUGUGCCGGCAAAGUGUGUGCUGAGAUGAUGAGUCGCUGGAGACCAGGGUGGACUCUUCAGACCCAGGAUAGGCCUCUGGCAGCAGGAGAAGCAUUCCUGGAGAGAGGCGGAUUCCAUGUGUGCCGGCAAAGUGUGUGCUGAGAUGAUGAGUCGCUGGAGACCAGGGUGGACUCUUCAGACCCAGGAUAGGCCUCUGGCAGCAGGAGAAGCAUUCCUGGAGAGAGGCGGAUUCCAUGUGUGCCGGCAAAGUGUGUGCUGAGAUGAUGAGUCGCUGGAGACCAGGGUGGACUCUUCAGACCCAGGAUAGGCCUCUGGCAGCAGGAGAAGCAUUCCUGGAGAGAGGCGGAUUCCAUGUGUGCCGGCAAAGUGUGUGCUGAGAUGAUGAGUCGCUGGAGACCAGGGUGGACUCUUCAGACCCAGGAUAGGCCUCUGGCAGGUAUGUGUCAAUGUUUUCUGCCCAUGGCACUCAGCCGGGUAUUUGAAUA